GAAAAAAAAAAGAGGGGAAAGGGGAGUGAAUUUCUUCCAUCUUCAACCUCAAGCUUCAAGGACUCCAUAGCCAAUCUUUCUUCACAACUUCAUCAAAGAUUCGGGUUUCAAGAAGGAAUUGGGGAAAAUCCACCAAAAGCAUCUUUAAGACAAUAUUAACUACUUUGGAGAUGGAGUCCAGCGUUAGUUCUUGCAGUCCGACGAACUCCCCUAGUUCGUCAGAAGGUGUAGGUCGUGGCAUGGACUACGACGUUUUUGUGCAGCGGAUGAGUGGCGCCGACCCUUAUGCGCCUGGCUAUGCUCCUACAGCUCCCAAUAGCUCACCGGCAGUAAAUAGUGUUCUUCCUAUUCCUGAUGGUCCUGACGUACAGGCCACUUUUGGUUUUUACCCCAUCGAGG